GACAGUGAAAUUCUGAGUGUCUAGUUGUUUUCACAAACUUCGUAAUCGUAAUUUUAUUCCGUGUUAAAACUUCGUUAAGUAAUGAGUAAAUUCGAUAAUAAGUGCACGAAUAACAAUUAUUGUGUACAUUUCAUUGGUGCAAUGCAUAAUAAAGUGAUGUUUAAUAAUAAAUAAUCAAUAUAUCGCCAUGAUUUACAACCAAUUUCAUAUAACAUAUAUUUCAAUUAACUAACACGCAGAUUAACAUUAUAAUGAUGUGCUUUAUAUUAAUACGAGUUUCAUACUAGCGUAACUUAUUUUAUUUCAUUCUAAUUUCGUGGAAAUAUGUCGUUUUCAUAGCCAUGUAAUAAGAAAUUACUUUGAUGAUCCGAAAAUAAAAACUCCGCUCAUAUAAACAUACAUUUGAAGUGUUUAGAAUCAGUUUGAUAACAGAUUGUUCUGUCACUUCUCGGAAAAAUUUGAAAUUCAAUAUUAUAAGCUGGUAAAGUAUGCCAUGGCGAUAUGUUUCUGCAAAGAACAAUCUAUAUUAAAUAAGAAGAAUUGAAAGUGAGAAUUGGAAACUGGUUCAUACAGUCAAAUAUUUUCAAUGUACUGGAGGAAUCCACAGCCGCGAUACGAAGAUAUUAAUUCUUUGAGAGGAAAUGAGUUCGUAACGUACCCAAAAAUUUCAUUAUGUUCAACAUAUUCAAGGCAGGUAUAUUUGGAUGAUUAUUUCCAAUAGCCGAGUAGUUUCUGCGUUUAUAAUUAGUACAUAGGUGUAUAUGCAUUUAUAGAAUAUUUACAGGUGCAAAAGUUUGCACACGUAAUAAGAAAAAAUGUCUGAAACAUCCAAACUAUUUGUUUUAUUUAUAUUAUUGGUAUUUGUGAUAUCUGAAUUUAUUUAAAAUAAAUCUCUAUUUUUAUGUAUGUUUCACAUUUUUAGUCGCUUUGAUAAAAAUACGAAUUUGCAAUAGACAUCGGAGGUCUAUUUAUAAUUUCUCUGUAUUAAUAAAUUGACAGUCAGUACCAUGAAAGAUCCAAUUUUUUUGAUUUCAAGACCAAAUACUAUUUUAUAUUUUAGGGUUAAAUGAUUUAUAUAGUAUGACAAUAAGUUCUCAUUAGUAUUCAUUGUUUAUUUGCAUGGAGUCAUAAAUGCCUUCUAGUUCGAUUCCUACAAACUGGCUUCGGCCAGUAAGAUUCCUGAAGAGGAAGAGGAAAGGUAAGAGUUAAAUCUGUUAAUCUCUCUCGAAAUUCUCCUUCUUUUAUAACGACGCUGCAUAAAGCUUGCGCUAGCAGCAUUCUAUUAUACAAUAGUAUAUCCGUACGUAAAUGUAGGUAAACACAAAUCACUAAUAACAGACAUAAUUUUUACGUCUAAGUAAAGAUUUAUUAAAAUUGACAUAUUCGUGGUUCUUUAGAUUUCGAUCAUAUUUUUAAUCCUCUCCGCACUUAACAGCCGAGAUGAUAUUCCUAAUUUUUAAGUGUAAUACAAUUUUAACACAUGUAAUGACACUUUAUUUUCAUGAAAUGAUAUUUAUAAAUAUAUUUCCGAGGAGUGAUAUAGACAGUAUAGAUAUAGUAAGAGGACUGAUAUAGACAUGUUUAACAUUUUUCCAAAAACAAGAAUUAUCUUCCAAAAAUUAAAGCUUAUAGGAAAUGAUUAAAUAACUCUUUUAUGUAAAACAAGGCACACUUUACGAUGAAAUACAAGAAAAAUGUGAAGACAUCUUUAUUUUUAAAAAAAUGUAUUAAUUUUAAUAAAUGUCUUUAAAAUGUAUAUUCUCUAAAAUAUUUCUAGAUGAUACAUAAAAAAAUUACAAAAUACUACAAGGGUUAAUAGUGUCAAAUAGAGAAAUGAACUUCUUUCUUUUUUUUUUUAUACGGGAGGAAAUCUUCAUGGACAGCCCCGACAUUUACCGACUAAAACCCCACGGUGGUCCGCCUGACGCUCAACAGUGGUGUCCCGGGACCUCUUUCGAAUUACUGUCGGAGCACUGCUGCAUCUUCCCCCAUCUGAGGGAGUCGUUCCUAGGUUAGUUCGGGUAUUGGGAGGGACCACCCCUCUUACCUCUAUUCUGUGGGUCGUCGUGCAAGUCUGAGGAAAAUCCCAGACCUAGUGCAGCGCAGGGCCGCCCUUCGGCGCGGAACCCUACAAGAGUGCGAUGUUCUCACUCUCUCUCGUUCUGUUCGCUCCUUUACGAGAAUUACUCCUUCGCAAUAGGAGCGGAUUGCGAGGAACUCUUGUUGCCCCCUCAGCAUCGAUUUCACAGCUGACGAGGGUGGAAAAGUGAAUUAGAGUGUUCGCAAAACAUCGAAACGAGUCGUAUUAUAUAUUGAACGUACGAUCGAAAUCCAAAGGACCACAAAUGUAUCAUCUACUAAUCGUGAAGGUUUAAAAUCUAUAAUAUAUUGAAAUUAUUGUACUACAGUGAUUGUGACUGUUUGAAAUUAACAAUUUUGUAAAUAAUCACGUUCAACUUUUAAAUUAAAAAUUUUCAUGUAAGCUACACUUAUAAACAUAUCGUAUCGACAUUAAGCCGCUUAUAAUAUAAAAUUGGAUUCUCAAAUUGAAGGUUCAAAAGAUCUUAUCAUAAAAAACUUAAAUACAUGGAAUAGAAUAGAGUUUCAUUUAAUGUUAACAAAAUGGAUAAAAAUAUACAAAAAUUAGAAAAAGGUAUAUGCUGAAAGAAAUAUUACAGUUUUAGAAAUACUUAUUUGCAUAGAAAAAUUAAUUUAGGUAUGUGGUAUAGUAUUUUGAUAGUGAACAUAGCAGAAUCUUUAUGCUAUACUGGAAUAAAUAAGCCGUUAGAUUUACAAAUUUCUUUUUGACACAUUAAGACACAUAUUGUUAAAAUGUAGCAUAAUUUAUUCACUAUCACCUUUAUUAGGAAAAAGGAAGUAAGAGAAUAGAAAACACAAUCAUACACCUGUUGUAUAUACAUUGGCGCAUAAAAGUAUCCAGAUAUUGCACACAUUUGACAAGAUGCGCUUUACUUACGAAAUUAUGAAUACAACAAACUGCAAUGGUAUUAUUGUUUAUAAUUAUUAGAUUACAGAUUUUUACGCAUUUGUGAUAGACUUAUGAACGCAAAAUACACAAAAGUAUCGAAUAAUAUAAAAUACUCACAGUAGAAUAUGUAUUAUAAUUUGCAAUAGAUGAAACAAAUCUCUAUUUAAGUUCUAUAUUUCUACUAAGGUGCAGUAAGUAAGAUCAAAAUAUACAAAUAUUCGCUCUAAUAAUGACAAUUGAGUUGAAGAAGUACAGAAGAAUACAACAAUACAACUGACAUUUAUUCUCUGUAUAUGAACGCUGUGUGAAGGUUUUAGACGCAGACGUCUGAUCUUUACGGAACUCCUCUGCUAUGCAUCUGAUGAUGUGUGACAGAACAUUCGCAGUCUAUUCAUUAACCACAGUUACUAUAAAUCGACCAAAGUACUGGAAUAUGAGCACUAGUGCAGUCAUUUGUAUGAUUUCACAAUCAUACAAGUUUAAUAUUACAUUAAUAUUCUAUAGAUCCUAUGUAAGGAUCAAUAAUAUUCUGCCAUCUCCUUGAUAUUGUAAAAAAAUUAAAUGUUUUGUGUGUUCUGAUGUAAAUUGUACCCUAAAAUUUUUAUAAAUUAAAUAUUUAAUUUUGUAAUUCUUUUCUAAUUUUGUAAUUCUUUGGUAAGUCAGAUAUAUAUAUGACACAUACGCACAAUCAGAUAUGUAUAAGUAGACUUCCGUAAAUGACUGUAUAUGUGCAUGCCAUGCCACAUACAUUUGAGGUGUUUGCUAAUCCAUCGAAUGCGGCGCAAGAAUCAAUUUAAAAAUAAAAUAAUAUAUCUAAUAAUUCAACCGUGUAUUAUUACUCGUGCGUUGCGUUAUGAAAUAGGAAUGUACAAAUAAAC